AACUCUAUUGAGACUGCCAGCGACAAGCUGGAGGAAGGUGGGGAUGACGUCAAAUCAUCAUGCCCUUUAUGACCUGGGCUACAAACGUAAUACAAUGGCGUAUACGAAGGGAUGCGAAAGGGCGACCUGGAGCAAAACUCACAAAGUACGUCUCAGUUCAGAUUGGAGUCUGCAACUCGACUCCAUGAAGGCGGAAUCGCUAGUAAUCGCGGAUCAGCAUGCCGCGGUGAAUACGUUCUCGGGUUU
rnacentral:rRNA from 1 species